ACCGCGGUAGCCCAGUUGGUUAGGGCGUCGGCAGUACUGAUGCCGAAGGUUCAAAUCCUGCCUGCGGUG